AUUGAACGCUGGCGGCAUGCCUUACACAUGCAAGUCGAACGGUAACUGGCCGCAAGGUGCUGACGAGUGGCGAACGGGUGAGUAAUGCAUCGGAACGUGCCCAGUCGUGGGGGAUAACGCAGCGAAAGCUGCGCUAAUACCGCAUACGAUCUGUGGAUGAAAGCGGGGGACCGAAAGGCCUCGCGCGAUUGGAGCGGCCGAUGUCAGAUUAGGUAGUUGGUGGGGUAAAGGCCCACCAAGCCAACGAUCUGUAGCUGGUCUGAGAGGACGACCAGCCACACUGGGACUGAGACACGGCCCAGACUCCUACGGGAGGCAGCAGUGGGGAAUUUUGGACAAUGGGCGCAAGCCUGAUCCAGCAAUGCCGCGUGCAGGAAGAAGGCCUUCGGGUUGUAAACUGCUUUUGUACGGAACGAAACGGCUCUGGUUAAUACCUGGGGCUAAUGACGGUACCGUAAGAAUAAGCACCGGCUAACUACGUGCCAGCCGCCGCCGUAAGAC
rnacentral:rRNA from 1 species